UCGAGUGGGUUUAGACCCACGGCGAACGGGUGAGUAAUACCUAGGAACGUAUCUUUAGUUGAGCAUAUCCCGCCGAAAGGCGGAGCAAUUCUCAAUGUGAUCGCAAGAUUAAAGUCGCAAGACGCUAAAGAAGCGGCCUGGGCACCAUCAGCUAGUUGGUAGGGUAAAGGCCUACCAAGGCUAUGACGGUUAGGGGCCCCGAGAGGGGAGACCCCCACACUGGAACUGCGACACGGUCCAG
rnacentral:rRNA from 1 species